UGAGAUGCUAGAAAUAGCUGAAAGACAUGAAUUAGUAGAUUAGGACAUGAAUACAUUGAGGAGUUCUUUUGCUAUUGUGAGUCUGUGUUGGCUACUGAUGGACUUUUUGUACUCCAGGUACAUAUCAAAAUAUGAUGCAGAGGAGAACUCUGAUAUGUCAUUUUCUGCGAGUUUGAUAAAGGCCGCGGAUGUGAUUGGGGAAGUCAAAAUGGUUUGAGCGGUUUGUUUGCACAGAAAACUAAUGCAGUAAUCCAUACUUUUGGAAGAUGAUCCAGGGAAUCAUCCAAGUUCACAAUGUAAGUGAUAAUGUAAGCGUUAUAUCUUCUCAAUCUGACUCCUGUAUAUAUGCUUGUUACAUUAAUUAUGAUGUCUAAGUUUCCGACUUCC